AGCGAACGCUGGCGGCAGGCCUAACACAUGCAAGUCGAACGAACCUUUCGGGGCUAGUGGCGGACGGGUGAGUAACACGUGGGAACGUGCCUUUAGGUUCGGCAUAACUCAGGGAAACUUGUGCUAACACCGAAUGUGCCCUUCGGGGGAAAGAUUUAUCGCCUUUCGAGCGGCCCGCGUCUGAUUAGCUAGUUGGUUGCGGUAAUCGCUCACCACGGCGGCGAUCAGUAGCUGGUCUGAGAGGAUGAUCAGCCACAUUGGGACUGAGACACGGCCCAAACUCCUACGGGAGGCAGCAGUGGGGAAUCUUGCGCAAUGGGCGAAAGCCGGACGCAGCCAUGCCGCGUGAAUGAUGAAGGUCUUAGGAUUGUAAAAUUCUUUCACCGGGGACGAUAAUGACGGUACCCGGAGAAGAAGCCCCGGCUAACUUCGUG
rnacentral:rRNA from 1 species